GGUUAAGUGAAUAAGGGCGCACGGUGGAUGCCUUGGCACUAGGAGCCGAUGAAGGACGGGACUAACACCGAUAUGCUUUGGGGAGCUGUAAGUAAGCUAUGAUCCAGAGAUUUCCGAAUGGGGGAACCCAAUAUCUUUUAUAGGAUAUUACUUUUCAGUGAAUACAUAGCUGAUUAGAGGUAGACGCAGAGAACUGAAACAUCUUAGUACCUGCAGGAAGAGAAAGAAAAUUCGAUUCCCUGAGUAGCGGCGAGCGAAACGGGAAGAGCCCAAACCAACAAGCUUGCUUGUUGGGGUUGUAGGACUCCAAUAUGGUAGUCUGUUAGUAUAGUUGAAGGAUUUGGAAAAUUCCGCUAAAGAGGGUGAAAGCCCCGUAGACGAAAUGCUGACAACACCUAGGAGGAUCCUGAGUACGGCGGAACACGAGAAAUUCCGUCGGAAUCCGCGGGGACCAUCCCGCAAGGCUAAAUACUCCCUAGUGACCGAUAGUGAACCAGUACCGUGAGGGAAAGGUGAAAAGCACCCCGGAAGGGGAGUGAAAUAGAUCCUGAAACCGUGUGCCUACAACAAGUCAAAGCUCGUUAAUGAGUGAUGGCGUGCCUUUUGUAGAAUGAACCGGCGAGUUACGAUUGCAUGCGAGGUUAAGUCGAAGAGACGGAGCCGCAGCGAAAGCGAGUCUGAAUAGGGCGAAUGAGUAUGUAGUCGUAGACCCGAAACCAUGUGAUCUACCCAUGUCCAGGUUGAAGGUGCGGUAAAACGCACUGGAGGACCGAACCCACGUACGUUGAAAAGUGCGGGGAUGAGGUGUGGGUAGCGGAGAAAUUCCAAACGAACUUGGAGAUAGCUGGUUCUCUCCGAAAUAGCUUUAGGGCUAGCCUCGGAAUUGAGAAUGAUGGAGGUAGAGCACUGUUUGGACUAGGGGCCCAUCUCGGGUUACCGAAUUCAGAUAAACUCCGAAUGCCAUUCAUUUAUAUCCGGGAGUCAGACUGCGAGUGAUAAGAUCCGUAGUCGAAAGGGAAACAGCCCAGACCACCAGCUAAGGUCCCAAAAUAUAUGUUAAGUGGAAAAGGAUGUGGGGUUGCACAGACAACUAGGAUGUUGGCUUAGAAGCAGCCACCAUUUAAAGAGUGCGUAAUAGCUCACUAGUCGAGUGACCCUGCGCCGAAAAUGUACCGGGGCUAAACAUAUUACCGAAGCUGUGGACUACACCAUUAGGUGUAGUGGUAGGAGAGCGUUCUAAGGGCGUUGAAGGUCGAUCGUGAGGACGGCUGGAGCGCUUAGAAGUGAGAAUGCCGGUAUGAGUAGCGAAAGACAGGUGAGAAUCCUGUCCACCGUAUGACUAAGGUUUCCUGGGGAAGGCUCGUCCGCCCAGGGUUAGUCGGGACCUAAGCCGAGGCCGAUAGGCGUAGGCGAUGGACAACAGGUUGAUAUUCCUGUACCAGUUGUUUUUGUUUGAGCAAUGGAGGGACGCAGUAGGCUAAGGAAUGCAUGCGAUUGGAAGUGCAUGUCCAAGCAAUGAGUCUUGAGUAGAGUUAAAUGCUUUACUCUCUAAGGACAAGUUGUGACGGGGAGCGAAAUAAUAGUAGCGAAGUUCCUGAUGUCACACUGCCAAGAAAAGCUUCUAGUGAGAAAACAACUGCCCGUACCGUAAACCGACACAGGUAGUCGAGGAGAGUAUCCUAAGGUGAGCGAGCGAACUCUCGUUAAGGAACUCGGCAAAAUGACCCCGUAACUUCGGGAGAAGGGGUGCUGA
rnacentral:rRNA from 1 species